UACGUAGGGGGCAAGCGUUGUCCGGAUUUAUUGGGCGUAAAGAGCGUGUAGGCGGCCUGAAAGGUCAGCUGUGAAAACUCGAGGCUCAACCUCGAGACGUCGGUUGAAACCAUCUGGCUAGAGUCCGGAAGAGGAGAGUGGAAUUCCCGGUGUAGCGGUGAAAUGCGCAGAUAUCGGGAAGAACACCCGUGGCGAAGGCGGCUCUCUGGUACGUGACUGACGCUGAGACGCGAAAGCGUGGGGAGCAAACAGG
rnacentral:rRNA from 1 species